GAGGUGUAUGAGUUUUCUUUAUGUGUGCUUUGGAGAGGAACCUCACGGGCAGGGGUACCCGUCUCCUCAGUGUUUCUGUAGAGCUGCUGUCCACAGCGUGGCAGCCGCUGUCCAGAGGGAGCCAUUUAUGCUUCAUUGAAUUCAGCCAGUAGUUAGGUCUGCCUCUGGCAGUGAACAGAAGAAAGCAGCCAAGGGUUCACUCCCCCGAGCCAGCACGCAAGGGUGUCCGUGCAGCUGGACUUUCAGGUGUGUCACGCUGGGGCUGAGGCCUCCGGAGGACUCCUAGAAGGGAGGCGUGCGUGUAAAGCGCCAUCCCUCAGCAGCCCACGACCUCGGACGGUUUGCCACUGUGGCCAGUGUUUUAUUGAUGCUUCUGAGGCCAUAGAGCACGCACGGGGAAGUUCUGAGCACACGGAGGACAAGCCAGGGCGGUGCUGUGUGGCCGCAGUCAACCCUAAGUAGGGUCCGAGUGGGGGACGGUCGCUAACACCUCGAUUCCUCAUGUCUGUGUUUCUGCAGCUUGGAGCUUGGAGAGUGUGUGUGAGAGCGACCUCGCUGACAGCAACCUCGCAGAAAGUGAUCGAGACUCGGUGGCGGAGCGCACCGACUGCCGCCAGGAUGAGGAGGCUGCAGGAACUCACGACGACGAUGUUGUGGAGGCCGGUGGGAGUGAGAAGACUGAGGCAAAGCCCCGGGCUGGGGGACAUGAGGACGAGGCGGCCCCAGUACCUGAGGUGGAGGUGGAGGAGGAGGCGGGCCAGCCCCGUGAAAAUGGCCAGGAGGAGUCCUUAGCCAUCGCCUGGGCUGAGCCGGAAGACGAGCCUGGCCCCAAGGUGGACGGGGCGGACGAUGAAAUCUCUUGGAGCUUGGAGAGUGUGUGUGAGAGCGACCUCGCUGACAGCAACCUCGCAGAAAGUGAUCGAGACUCGGUGGCGGAGCGCACCGACUGCCGCCAGGAUGAGGAGGCUGCAGACUGUUGCUUUGGGAGCAAAGGAUCGUGCUUCAAAAGUCUGAGGACAAGUUUGUCCUCUGCGAGCUUGGCUAGAAUAAUUCCCCGGUGGCCACACAACAGGGUGCACCUUGCCACUGAGCCAGAUGAAGGAACUCACGACGACGAUGUUGUGGAGGCCGGUGGGAGUGAGAAGACCGAGGCAAAGCCCCGGGCUGGGGGACAUGAGGACGAGGCGGCCCCAGUACCUGAGGUGGAGGGGAGGAGGAGGCGGGCCAGCCCCGUGAAAAUGGCCAGGAGGAGUCCUAGCCAUCGCCUGGGCUGAGCCGGAAGACGAGCCUGGCCCCAAGGUGGACGGGGCGGACGAUGAAAUCUGUGAGUAUUCUGGAGCCCGGCUCUGCUGAGGAGAAGUCCAGGUGUUGAGGAAAUGGGGG
rnacentral:lncRNA from 9 species